CCUACGGGUGGCAGCAGUGGGGAAUAUUGGACAAUGGGCGAAAGCCUGAUCCAGCCAUGCCGCGUGUGUGAAGAAGGCCUUCGGGUUGUAAAGCACUUUCAGUGGGGAAGAAAGCCUUGGGGCUAAUACCCUCGAGGAAGGACAUCACCCACAGAAGAAGCACCGGCUAACUCCGUGCCAGCAGCCGCGGUAAUACGGAGGGUGCGAGCGUUAAUCGGAAUUACUGGGCGUAAAGCGCGCGUAGGCGGUCUGAUAAGCCGGUUGUGAAAGCCCCGGGCUCAACCUGGGAACGGCAUCCGGAACUGUCAGGCUAGAGUGCAGGAGAGGAAGGUAGAAUUCCCGGUGUAGCGGUGAAAUGCGUAGAGAUCGGGAGGAAUACCAGUGGCGAAGGCGGCCUUCUGGACUGACACUGACGCUGAGGUGCGAAAGCGUGGUAGCAAACAGGAUUAGAUACCCGAGUAGUC
rnacentral:rRNA from 1 species